UAAGAGCCUACUAUUUUCAUUUUAAUCCAUAACACACUCUUUGUAAAAUUUGAUUAAAUCUCAUAAAACAAUUAAGAUUAAAGAAAGAAAAAAAUGAAAAGAAAGAAUAUCGUAAAAUAUUUACUAAUAUGUACUGGUUUCUACCUUUUUCUCUCAUGCAAACACCUACAAGAACAAGCGUCACCAACCCUCCACACACGCCACU
rnacentral:lncRNA from 1 species